rnacentral:lncRNA from 1 species
AAAUAUGAACGAUUGAUAACCAAAAGUAUUUGCAUUAGAUUACAUGGUAAUAAUAUAGCAUUCUCAAAUGCCAAAUUCAAGUGUACAUUACCCAACUAAUGCCUACAAAAAUAACAUUUGUCCAAAAUAUCACUUGUACAUAAGGUACAUUUACAAAAGCAAUCACAGUUUAAGAAAUUGAAGAACAUCAAAAUGAACCACUCCAUGAGCAAAAGGCAAUUUUGUCUUCAACAUUCUUCAACCAUAACCAUAGAUAU